AGGCUUUCACAAGGCCGGAAGCAGUGAAGGUGGGGGCUCAAUUAUGACCAAAAAAUGACAUGGGCUGGAGUUGACCCAGGGUUCAGAGAGAAGAGGAAUGAGGAAAGGCCUGUUUUCAGAGGCUCUGGGAGGACAUAUGCCUGGAGGGAAUGGCCUUCUCAAAGGAAGCAAAGUGCUUAUAUUGAGAGAGGUCCUGAGAGAUCCUAUUUGCUCAUCCUGCUUUUUUUUUGCAGAUGGGGAAACUGAGGCCUAGCAAUGGGAAGGGACUUGGCCAAAGUCACACAGGCCAACCAUCUAGGGAACACCCAGCUAAGCCCUUCCUCUCUCUGAGUAACUUCUGACCAGCUGCUCAUCUGUCCUCCCGCUGUCCUCACUUUGGCUGCCCCGGUGGGGAGCUCACCCACAGUGCUGACAUCUCCUGGUUACUUGUGUCUCUCCAACUGGACUGUGAGUCCCUGAGGUCAGGGAUGGGCCCUGUGUCCUGUUCCACAGAUAUGCCCUCAAUAACGACUACGGUGGAGGGAUGAAAGAUCCUUGCAUGGAAAACAGCCGCCACAAGGAACCUGAGGUCAGAGCAUUUUGGAAUCCCCAUGGUGGACAAAGCCAAAGGAAGUGGACACUCUGGUCUCCCCAGGGAAACAUUUUUCCAGCGAGCAAUAUCAUUCCCUGGACAGGCCAUGGAGGACAAGUUCAAGGGUCUUUCCCCCAAGUGUUUCACUGUGAGGAUCUUCAUAAAACAUGAAGUACAAA